rnacentral:rRNA from 1 species
CAGUAGCCGCGGUAAUACAGAGGGUGCGAGCGUUAAUCGGAUUUACUGGGCGUAAAGCGUGCGUAGGCGGCUUUUUAAGUCGGAUGUGAAAUCCCUGAGCUUAACUUAGGAAUUGCAUUCGAUACUGGGAAGCUAGAGUAUGGGAGAGGAUGGUAGAAUUCCAGGUGUAGCGGUGAAAUGCGUAGAGAUCUGGAGGAAUACCGAUGGCGAAGGCAGCCAUCUGGCCUAAUACUGACGCUGAGGUACGAAAGCAUGGGGAGCAAACAGGAUUAGAGACCCCCGUAGUCCCUGUCUCUUAUAA